UUGAAACACUGAUUCCUAUAUGAUCACUGAAGUUAAUCAAUGUCGAGGCUGAUAAGUACUUUGAUGAGUGACCUCUUAGGAAUACCAGAUACUGCAAGC